GAGUGACAAGUGCAUGCGCCGCCAAAACUAGAGUUGCCUGUCCGGGACUCCUCGGUUCUUAUGCUUGCAGCUGGAGGUGGCACUGGCAUUGGUUCCGAGGAAUCUAGUGACUCUUCCAGACCUCCAACUUUGUCACAAAGCUUCUCCAGCAGGAUGUUCUCGCAGGAGAACAAGGCCUUGACGUACUCUAUCGAAGCCGACGGGUCUGGUAUCUCGAGUAGAAAGUCCGCAAGACUUAGCUUCGCAGUGUGCUUGGCGAGUUCGUCUUCUUCUUGCUCCGUCUGCCGCGGUGGAGUAGCCGCCUGUGGCAAGUCAAGCAAGUCCGCCAGCUCGGACAUCAAUUUCUUCUCCGCACCAGAGGAAAGAGAGGACUCCGGUCUUUCCAGCUGCUCAAGCAGCGUAAAAGUUGCAUCAAAAUCAAGCGAGGCAGAGGUUUUGCGCUUUGGAGUGGAAAUCGCAGUCUCAGCACCAGUCCCAGGAACGUUCUCAGCAGCGACUUGCAUAGCUCGGCUGUCUGGAUUCAUAACCGGCGUCGCGUAGUCAGCCUGCUCUGGAACUGGAGGGAACUCAAAGCUUUCAUCGUUUCUUCUGUCGACACACUCCGACAGGUCCAGUGGCAGUAGCCGAGCCAACUCCGUAAGAAUUUCCUCCUCCUUUUGUUCUGAUAACUCAGAAGAAUAGAGAAUGUCGAGGUUGCGAACGCUGGAACUACGACAUUCUACAGCUUCUUCGUGAAGAUCUUGCAGCCUGUCGACUCCUCCUUCCUUCUUCUUGGCGGAUGGCGUAGCGAAACCUUUCUCAUCGUCGCUGGAACUUUGCUUCAAAGGUUGGUUCUCCGAGUCUAGUUCGACUGCAGACUCGGAACUCAAGAAACUGUAUUCCAGUCCCAAACGUUGAAUGCUCAGAUCGUCUAUGAGCCUCCCCGGCUCGUGGUGGGAAGAGCAAAGGUUUAAAGCUGUGGAAGAAAUGUCCAUGAAAGGGAGUCUUCGUACUUGAAGCCUGGCGUGCUUGUUAACAAUCGGCAAUCGUCUUUCCGCAGCUAGGACUUUCAAACCUGUAGAUGGAGAAACAUUUAGAAAAUCCUUGGCAAAGAGAGAUGAAGGGGAGCCUCACCGUGCUUCAGCUUGCAUUCUAUUCGUUUGUCCAGAUUCGUAAACUUGGAAGUUGAUGGAUAGAUCUUACAUUCGGGUCUCGCAGGCGACGGAAAGGGAGAGACGUGCUUGUGAUUCUCUUCCAGGUACCUGCAAACCUUGCUCCAGUAAUACGUCGUCUUCUCUCUCUGAGGACCUUGAGGACCACCUACAGUCUCAAAGAGGAAAAAGGAACCAUCAGCAAAGCUGCUACGUUCCAUCCAUCACACAACUUCAUACCAUUGUGAAUCUUAGCUAGAAUUUCCCAGUCAUGUUGUGUUAGAGCUUCCGAGCAGUACCUCAUCCAAUAUGCCACCACUGUGUUCUCCGCGUGCUCUAAAUCUCUGGACUAACUACUGUAAGAAACCAACGAAGAAAAAUAGAGAACGAAGAAAGACACAUACCGGCAGCGUAGCCACGAUGCUCGCUUGUUUUUCCAGGCAUCGACAUGGUAGUGCUCGGAGAUCUGGAGAGGCCCAAUGCUGGCACCACCGUCUCCAUCGGGACAAUCCACCCUAUUGCUCGACUCCACAAACCUGAUAGCAUCAAGGAGGGGACGAAGCUGUGCUCGAUAAGCUCGCAUCGCGUCCUCCACACUGCCCUGCCGCUUCUUCUUCCGCGACAUUGUGACGCUCUUGCGGACAUAGCUCGCCUGCUGCUGCUGAUGCCUUGCCCGUCUCUUCUUCUUCUGCGAUGACGACGGCCUGGCCGGCAGAGCGAGCCCAUUCUCGGAGAAUCGAGACACGCCCGGCAUGGAGAGAAGCUGUGGCGUGCAAGAAAUAUGAAUUUUAACCUAACACGCCCAACGGUCAACAUCCAGCCCUAAAAUCUAGCCUAAAUUUCAAGUCAAAAAGAAAUAAUCGCCACCGUCGGUUCUUUGACCCAUCUGAGCCCUUGAAUUCCUGUAUAAGGAGCUUUCCGGUCUGGUGAGAAAUUUGCAAGGCCUCAAUGAGCUGCUCCACGCUCAAUUGAAAGCGGAGGCCGACCAACUAGAGAGUGUUGCCCUGUAGAACUUAAUAUGCAUGCAGCUCCUAUAGGCUAUAGCCCUCUUGGUUGGAUUCGAUGUAGGCUUGCUGGGCUGGGCAUUUGUGGAUGGAUGGAUUGCUCCAUAGCAACAGGAGAACAGCAAAGCGGUGGAGAUGCAGUGGAGAUGGUGAUAGCCACAGUAGCAUUGAAAAUCUAGCCCCCAUGAGCACAAUUGCCAUUAUAAUCGCCGAACAGAAUCACCAAAUGGAGCUGUUCGACUGCGUUUGGUUGAUUGCGUUUGGCUGACCACGUUCGGUGGUGGUCGGGAUUCCUGCUGAACGCGGUCAGGACCAACAAUGUGCUCAACUUGGUGAAGUUGUCCACAAGAUUAAGCUCCCAGAGUUCAAACCCAAGCAGGGGGUGAAGAUUAUUGCCAAUGAGAAGGCCACCAACUCAAAGCAUUCUUUCUAAUUGCUGGAAAUUCUUGCAAAGGAUUGCUAUGCCAUGUUCUUGAAUCUUGAUGUAAUGGAUUUAUGCAUAUUAUAGAGAAAGAUUCUCUUGGAUCUGGUUUAACAAGGUUUGGGGUGGAUAAGCUGGACGAUCGAUUGAUCAAUGGGGGACAAUGUGAUUCAAUGUUUCAAAGGUGAUGAGCUUUUUUUGGCGCUAGGGAUGAUUGGCUUGAUUCUAUACUUGCUGCUCAGUGCCUUUGCACAUCGAAGUGCCUUGAUACAACACCUCAAACAUCUAGCAUAUCAAAACCUCAAGCAUUGCAAAAAAGAGGCUCAUCCUCCUCCUCGUCAUUGGCCUCCUGGCCAGCAAGUGCCAUGCCCAGGAUCAAAGAGCUAAUUGCUCUGAUACUAUGAAAGUAGUGGAAAGAUAAUGCAUAUAAAAAGGAAGAACAUUGUAUCUCAAUUAUAUACAUAUACAUAAAACUAUAUAACAUAUCAUCUCUACCUUUAACAUUCUCUUCUCAGCCUGUUCAGAAUAGUGAGACCAAUGAGGAUUUUAAUGUUCCAUGGCAAGGAGUUACAAUAUAAACAUUCUUACAAUGUUUCUUCUUUUCUCAACAUGCCAAGAACAAUGAGACUAGCGAGGAUUUGAGCAUACAAGGUGCUGGCAUAGAAGUUCUAAUGUAGGUGUUCCCUUGUCAAUGUCUCUCAAGUGGAAUGGCAUUGGAUGAUGGGUAAUUGGCAAAGCGAGGCUAAGUGUUUGGAUGAAGAUUUGGGUGUUUGCAACUAGACAAUAUGAUAUUGCGAGGAGAUGUGGGCUCUAAAGGGCCAUGGCAGUGAAGCGUCCUUCUCAAAGAGAGAAAUUGGGUACUUUGGGAAAUUGUGUUCUAUGAUGGAUAUAGUAUGUCGAAAGACAGCUCGAUAUUGGUUGUGUGGAAAAUGUAGAUGUGUUCCCAGAUUGUUGCAAGUUCAUAGAUGUUGGUAUGACUUAUCAAUUGAUUGCAUAUAUGUAUUGCUCUAGUAUGAUAUUUUGGCACGUUGACUUCUCCAAUCGGACAAACUUAAGAUGCCCAUUGGGUGGGCAUCGAAUGGUACAUGACAUGGGCCAUACCUCUGGGGCAUGCAUGUGUCAUGGAUGAUCCAUUGAUGAAUCUCAUCAGCAUGUCAAGGAUUUAGCGAGGAGUCAAGUAAGUUUUAGUAUGCUCUCCUUUGAAGCCACUUUAAUUUCUAUAGUGUGGCAGCCAAUUGUUGCAAUAGUGAAAUUAGUUUGGAUUUUAAUGGUAACUAGAAUUGUUUGAGCCUAAGAUUGUAUCAAUUAAUAUAUUUUUACUCCAACCCAAAUCAUUUCAUUCCUAUCAUAAUCAAGUGUAGUGCUGAAAGAUGAACAAAGUGUGGUGACUCUAUUGAGCUACAAUUUCAACUCUUCUUCAAUUAGUAAGAGUGAAGAUGGAGAAAGCAACAUUUUAGUAGUGAGUAAAUAAAUUUUUUAAAUAUGCAAAACUUUAAUAAUUUUUUACAAUUAAGGGAAUUUACUAUUAUGUUAUCAUGCAAAUCAUGCAGCCAACAAUUUAUAUAUUGGUGGUCCAUUAAAAUUGGGGGUGGGUGUAUACUAUAGGAUUCAGAUAGAGGAAGUCCUUCACCACAUUUGGACCAUGAAUUGUGUUGGGACAAAUUAGGGGUCUUGUUAUCAAGUAAUUAGUUAGUGUUCUUUUCAUUCAAAUUAUAGGCUAUGACAAUGUUCAUUCCUAUAUAACCAAUAGUAAAUUCUAAUUUCUCCUAUGACUAUAUGAGCACAUGUUGACUAUGUGGGGUAAUGGGUUGAAUUUAUAUUGAAGAUGUUGCAAUUAAUAUAGAUUGGUAGCCAUAAAUGGAACUCUAAUGAAUCUAUCACAAAAUGGUGGAGUGAUAGUUAGAGUUGCUUGACAAGCCACAUAUUCUUACCUUUGAUUACCUCAUAAAUCCACCACUUCUAGUUGUCAGUAAAUCCUAAUCUAAGAACCAAGCACCUCUGGAGUUAUCUCAUAUUGAUCAUCUAAAACACCUAAAGUAGUGGCAAAAUUGUAAGUAGCCACUCUCCCCAUUGCACUUUGGUUGUUAAACAGAAUUUUCCAAAUAAUUGCUACCAUGCAAUGGUUAACGACUUCUUCAUAGUCAAACUUGAUGUCCACCAGCCUUGAGGGUCCAUUAAUCUUGAUAUCCACCAGCCAGAGUGUAAUCCAUGGCCUUGAUGAAGCAAGAGUUGCUUUUGGUGAUGAGUGAAGGAUGUUUUGUCGUCAUUGGUGAGUAAUGGCUUUUAUUCAAUAAAUCAUAGGGCAAGUCAUUCAACAAGUUUGUGGAGACCACAAGCAAGUAAAUACUCCAAACCUUUUAUAUUAGCUGUAAAUAAUGAAUCUUUGCUCGUGAAAAACUAUUAUAGGGUUUGAGUUUUAUGUCAAAGAUAAAAGUUAAAUGGCUAAUAUAUAUAAAUUGCAUUGGCAAAAGUUUUCUUUAUAAGCCCAACCUUCUAGGCUACAUACUUAUCUUGUAGAGUCCUUUGGACUUACAUGUAGUAUUGUGGGUAGAGUUGUAUCUUCUGAAGUGGCCAAAGACACUUAUUAUUGUGUUGCAUGCUAGAAACUUUCUCAGUGUAAUAUGUUUUUAUAUGUUUUGAAAUAUAUAUACCAAAGGUGGUGACAUAUGUACUACAUUUGCACUAGCAAAAGCUAAAAGGAGAUUAUAACACAUUUGAGUGAACACGUACAGAACAUCUAGCAAAUCAAUAGAAAACACACAAAGAGAAUGAAUGUACUCAAGAGCAUGUCCAGGUUUGUCUUUCUUGACCUUCUUCAGUUUGUAACACUUGUAGGCAUUCAUACAAGUAUAGAGAUGAUGCAAAAUAUGUAUCACUUGUUCAAUCAAGAAUCAAAAUAAGUAUUUAUGGUGAUUUUACUCUUAUAAUUGUGUAGAUUUUACACUUUGGAUCAGAUUGGAUACAUUGGGUGCUAUGUUUCUAGGCAUUAACUUUGCUUUUAAUAUGGUCUUUAUUCAAUUGACCACCUCAUAAUUCACACAAAUCAGGUGACUAAUCUAUGACUUGUGUUAUGGUUAACUUCAAAAAUGUUUUACAAUGACAUGUCAUUUGGAUAUUCAAGAGCUUUGGCCUCUGGUUGGAUCAAGCCCAUUAAAUUUAAGAGCAAGAGUAUUGAUUAAUUGAGGGAUUGGAAUGCUUGAAAUCUGUAGUAUAGGGGGAUUGUAACUUAAAUACAUGAGCAAGCCAUGCUAGAGGGGUGGGUGUUGUGGCAGCAUGUAAACAGUCAAAUGCAAUGGGAUGUAAUUGUCUCUUCACCGUACCUCAUUUAUAUUUUUUAUCAUGCCACAUUCAAUUAAUUCUAAUAAUCUUGUAGUUCAAUCCAAUUAGUCUUUGAUUUCCUUGAUUUGGGAUUGAUAAGAUGAUGUUUUAUUUAAUUAUAUAUAUAAAGAAUAACAUUUUUACUAUUGAGCGAAAGUUAAUUAACUUUCACAAUGGAAGUAAAAAAAACAUCCACUUCCUCCUUCCUUUUCACAUGUUGAAGUAGUUUAAAAAUGUUAAGUUUGCCCAAAGAUAAUAGUUUUUUUGUGAAUUUAAUUAAAAAUUCAAAAUUAGUAAACAAUUUAAAACUUAGAAAUUCUUAAUUGUCAUUUAAAUUGUUCAUCUUUUGAAUUUAGUGUGCCUUUUAUUUUUUCUUUUUAUUUUCCUAGCCUCCUUAAUUUUUAUUUUAAAUUCUAACUAACAAUUUAAACCACCACUGCCUAAAAAACAAUAAUGUUUCUUCUUUUUCUUGAAGAGAUACCAAGAAUUUCGCUAGACUAAUUAAUUUGUUUUUUCGGCAAUUCAUAAAUUACAGACCUUACAGAAUAUUUUUAAAUAUUUUAAUUUUAAUGUUAACAUUGGGAUUUUAGGAAAAAAUGCUAGUCUAAUUUAAUAUUUAUUUUUGGUGUGAAUAAAUUAAUAUUAAAUUAAAGUCUAUAAAAAUGGUGUGAACACUUUACUAUUAAAUUAAUUAGUUCCAAGGAUUUUAUUUUGUAUGUUGGCUUUUUGAAUUAGUAAUGAAGAAUUUUUAAAAAAAAAUUUAAUUUUAUUAAUUUUUUUAUAUAGUGUUUUUCGCUAAAACUUUAAUAUGCUGUAUAGUAGAUAUAUAUUUUUUCUUAAUGCUGAUCAUGAAUUUUAAGGGAAAAUAAAGAGAUUGAUCAUUAUAAUUUUAAAAUUCUCAAAAUAAAAAUAAAGUUUCUUAUAGUCGGAAUAAAUAUGGAUAUAUAUUGUUUUUGAAAUUUUUUCUAGAGGAAAUUUAUUUAAAGUAACAUUACUCAAUUUUGGCAUCAAACAUUCAAAAUGUGUUAAAAAUAAUUAAUUGUGCUAAAGAAGUAAUAUUAAAAUAUAAUUUUAAGAUUUACAUGGUUGUUAUAACCUUUAAUUAAGGUAAAUAUUUUUAUUAUUAUUUAAGAUGUUAAUUUGUUUUAAAGGUUGAACAUUUAUAAAAUUUAUGUGUUUUGGGAAGUAAAAAAGAGGAUUUGUGAUCAAUCCUAAAUGUGAAUAAAAUACAUUAAUGUGAAUUAAGUAUGAAUAGGAAUAUAUUAAACUAACUAAUUGAAUGGGUAUAUAAACCAUUCAUCAUUAAUUUAGGUGUUUUUAAAAAAAUAUUAAAUGGUACUAUUAACUAAUAUCCUAAAUGUGAAUAAAAUACAUUAAUGUGAAUUAAGUAUGAAUAUGAAUAGAUUAAACUAACUAAUUGAAUGGGUAUAUAAACCAUUCAUCAUUAAUUUAGGUGUUUUUAAAAAAAAUAUUAAAUGGUACUAUUAACUAAUAUUGAUGUGAAAACAAUCUUUUGUAGCAUUGGGCCUGAAAUGCCAUAGCAUCCGCAACCCCUAUGUGGGUGUGCUCAACCCAAAGCAACUUGGUGAAGUUGUCAACAAAAUCAAGCUCCCAAAGUUCAAACUUAAACAGGGGGUGAAGAUUAUCACCAAUGAGAAGGCCACUAAUGUGAUUGCUUCUAGCUUGGAUGAUGCUGCCAACAUCUGAUUUAAAUCACUGCCAACAGGAGAAGGUCAAAAUUUUCUCUUUCGUUCUUUUUAUUUAUGGAGCUAGCUGAGAUCCCUGACGUGGACAAGCUGGAAAGAUCAUUCCAGCCAUUGUGACAACGGCACUAGUGACUGUGGAACAAGGUUUUCCAAGACAAGACGUUCACCAACUUGGCACUGCCGCUCUUCCCAAUGGCCAAGCCAAUUCCUCCCAAGUCGUUCAACCAUGUCAAGGGGACCUCUCCUGGAGAGAUUGACAGCCUACAGCAUCUCGUGUGGCCAAAGCCUGCUCUACAACAGCUUGUUCCAGAGCAGCUCAUUCGCCACAAGGCGCUGGAGGAUCCACCUGUGGAUGGAUUCAGAUACACCGGAGAGGCCUAAUCUCCUUGUGGACAUGUAUGGUAAAUGCGGCAGCUCCGCGGCACAAGGAGCGCAUGUCAGAGCUCGCAAAGGAGGUGGCGAAGCUGGUUCUAUGGGCUAGAGGUGAUUGUGAUAGAAGAAAAACAAACAAGAGUAACAAAUGUCUCUCAAUGGUUUUCUGAAUGGUGGUAUUUACAGAGCAGAUCACUCACCUAAUUAUAGAUGCGUUGCCUCGCUUGAGCAGCCUGAUUUGAAUGGCAGGUCAUCACAGGGAGAAAGAAGGCGGCGGUGGCACACCGCCACUAACAUCAGUGCUGUACGUCGCCAAGACCUCAGUUAGGCCUGCUCCCUAGAUCAUCACGUUCAAAGAUCAAAGAGAUUCUUGGCCGCCAGCACUGUGGAGAUCAUGCUCGACAAAAUACCACCACCACCUCCAGGAUUAGAAUAUCGCCGUGAAUUGCGUUUCUUGAAGUUGCAAUGUGCGCCCUUCGAGUGAUGAUCAUCUGCUGGUUGCUCGAUGGAAAAGGCGCAUAGUCCUUCCUCCCUAGUCGUGUUGCUCCACCGAAUUCUGUUCAGCUGCCUCGUCCUACAAUACUGCGAACAAAACAUGUUUUUGAUCUAUGUCCUUGCAACGGUCAUGAUCAUAGGAUCACUGCACUGGCAUCAUUCUCGAAGCUCACGCAGCUUCUCAUCGCUAGCAGCUGCUUCGUUUCCAUCACUAUCUCCUCGUAGUGGAUGACGGGCUUGGCCAGGCACUCGGCCUCCAUGAGCAGCUCUUUUGCUGCUGGUGUCCAUGCGCAUCGGAGCGCUGCUGGGCGUCCGCCCCAAUCACCGUCCCGAGGAUGUAAUCUGCAGCUUGCUGCCGCCCACCAUGGGAUCCCUGGGACUAUCAAACACUCCUCCUUCCCUGGACGACAGAGCGCGAGAUAAGAACGCAGACAUAGGUGCAUCGAUCAGGAACUGAGGCAGAACUUCGUGUUGCUCAAGCGGUAGAGUCGCCUAGCGAGUGUUGGACGUCUGGAUCAACACGUAGUGAAUAUGGAAAACACACGCUGUUUAUAGUAAGACUACUUUUGGGCAACGUAGCGAGCGAGUGGCAGGGAAAAAAACUUAUUUGCCAAUGGAAGUGAGAGGCAGACAACAGACACGCUCAAAGUGCACGACUUUCGACGUGGGAUGGUCUUCACCUGCUUCAGUUUGUCUGAUAGAAGCUGUUGACUCAAGUGAAAAAAAAUGAGUUUGUCACAGUACCUGGCCAACCUCGCGAUGUCAAAUUGGAUGCCAGAACAUGAAUCUGUCGUACGAGCUGCGACGCAUGGUUCCAUCAAUUCUUGGCGCGCCAACAAUCAUCUUUGGAGCGGAUGUCUCUCAUCCCAUGGCCCGCAAAGUCCCUCCAUCGUGGCGAGCAUGGACUGGCCAUCGGCGGUCAAGUAUCUCGCUUGGGCGAAGGAUCGAGCACCAGCAAGGAGAUGGUGGUCGAGCUCAUGAGGUAACACCCGACUUACGACAUCCAAUAUGCUGGAGAGUUUGUCUUCUACCUUUGCACUACCGCUUGACAAGAAUGGCUUCAAGAUCGAGCAGCCCCAUUUCCAAGCACUCUAGAAAAGGAUGCCGCAUCACUUUUUGGUUUGAUCCAAGCUGCCAGACAUGUUUGAAACUAUGCGAUUCAGCGGGAACAAGUACAUGAAGAGUCUUUUAGCUAGCUAGACUAGGAAAUAAUCGUUACCGUCGGUUGUCGGACGCAUCUGAGCCCUUGAAUCCUUGUAUAAGAAAGGGAAUAGAGAAAAGGAGGUAGGGAUGGAUACGAAGGAGACGACUCGCGUCACGGGACCGGAUGAGUAUGGUCUGAUUCAGGCGUUUACACCUGUGGAUUGGAACGGGCAGAAGCGAAUCCUCCAAGCGCUCUACGUCGUCGAAGAUGGCUUCCUUGAGGCUGCUGCGAAAGUGGACAAGUGGACUCCAGCCGUGAUCGAGGACGCAGUGCAGCGGAGAAUGAUCACGGAUUAUGGGGUUGCCAAUGUCGCCGAGGAUGAUCUUGUGGAGCCGAUUAGGAUCUACGAAGUGAGAGAGAGGAUGAUCAAGAAAGGGGUGCUCCCAGCAGAGUAUCAGUAGAAUGUCUAUAAUCAAAUAAUCCCUGCGCCUUGGCGGCAGAAUCCCAGGGAGAAUGCUUCUUCUCCUUCUUCCUCGCCAUUGCAGCAGGGUUUUUACUUCAAGUUCUUUCAAGUUCUUAGAUUGAGCGAGGACAUGGCGGUAAGCUUGGCGGUGAGGAUUUUCUAACAUACAGUCGUAGACAAAUGCCAAUUGUUAACAAGCACUCCAGGCUUCAGCUCCCUUUCACAGUAAUUUCUUCCAAUGGUAAACCAAUAUUGAAGUUCCACUUUCUACAAAAGCAACUCACAACUUUCAAACUAAUGGCGAAAUUCUUUCUGCCUGCGGCCCAGUUUUCCCAGGCAGGCAUUCGCUGAAAUACCUUCUCUCGAGGUCCUCAGAGGUAGAGGCUCACGAGCUCAGCGCUAUGAGAAUACCUGGCAAUGUUCUCUGUCAGUGUUAGUGCUCGCUCUAAGUUGAUGAGCUUUUUACCUCUUUGUAUCCCUCCACAUAAGGUUGUUGAUAGCCUGUGAACCCCCCAUGCCGAAUAGAGCUGAUGCCUCUCACUCCUGCUCGCAUAGGCGCCUAUGUUGAUGUAAAUCUUAUCUCUUUGCUGCUGUAUAAGCUCCUUUGCAGCCCUUCGAGACUUAGCACUCUUGUCGAUGUUCUGCAACGCGUGGAUCUCCCAGGCGAUGCACGGUGCCUCUUUUGUAGAAAGCUGAAAGAAAAGAAGCAUAAGUUUUGUAGCGCCUGGUGUAUACGGGAUUCACAUACCUCAGAUGAAGAGCUGACCGCAGUGAGCAUCUUAAACCUCAAGGAACGGGUCAGUAGAUCGACGUCUUGCUCCUCCCACACUGCACAGAGCCUCUUCAAGGACGAUGUCAAGCGAUUGUCGCUAGAGUGACAAGUGCAUGUGGCGCCAAAACUAGAGUUGCCUGUCCGGGACUCCUCGGUUCUUAAUGCUUGCAGCUGGAGGUGGCACUGGCGUUGGUUCCGAGGAAUCCAGUGACUCUUCCAGACCUCCAACUUUGUCAAAAAGCUUCUCCAGCAGGAUGUUCUCGCAGGAGAACAAGGCCUUGACGUACUCUAUCGAAGCCGACAGGUUUGGUAUCUCGAGCAAAAAGUCUGCAAGACUUAGCUUCGCAGUGUGCUUGGCGAGUUCGUCUUCUUCUUGCUCCGUCUGUCGCGGUGGAGUGGCCGCCCCAGCUCGGACAUCAAUUUCUUCUCCGCACCCGAGGAAAGAGAGGACUCCGGUCUUUCCAGCUGCUCAAGCCGCGUAAAAGUUGCAUCGAAAUCAAGCGAGGCAGAAGUUUUGCGCUUUGGAGUGGAAAUCCCAGUCUCAGCACCAGUCUCAGGAACGUUCUCAGCAGAGACUUGCAUAGCUCGGCUGUCUGGAUUCAUAACCGGCGUGGUGUAAUCAGCCUGCUCUGGAACUGGAGAGAACUCAAAAGCUUUCAUCGUUUCUUCGGUCGACACACUCCGACAGCUCCAGUGGCAGUAGCCGAGCCAACUCCGUAAGAAUCUGUGGAAGAAAUGUCCGUGAAAGGGAGUCUUCGUACUUGAAGCCUGGCGUGCUUGACAAUCGGCAAUCGUCUUUCCGCAGCUAGGACUUUCAAACC
rnacentral:lncRNA from 1 species